UGCCAUUUCAGGAUCACCUUUCUAGUCACCAUCUCAUGGCUUCCAGUGUACUUAAGAGAGUUAUCUUACGCAGUCAGUGCCCUACAUCGUGACCACUCCCUAUUCUGGAUCCUCAGCCACUUCAGAUCAUAUCAAGGAACGUAUUCCGCCUAAACAGGAAGUCCAGCCCAGGUCUUCAGGAGAGCGGGGCCACCAGUCACAGAGGCCAUGGUCAGAACCCAUCCCAGCCAGAGCAGACCUUGCCCUCCAUAUCGAAUCGAGUGCUACCCACCACGAAAGUCAGAAUCCGUCUUAUGCACUCUUCAGACCUAUUUUCAUUAAAUCAUUUCACUUGACAGCAAUUCUUUAUUAAAAAGCAGGCA
rnacentral:lncRNA from 1 species